rnacentral:rRNA from 1 species
GACGAACGCUGGCGGCGUGCUUAACACAUGCAAGUCGAACGGUAAGGCUCCAGCUUGCUGGGGUACACGAGUGGCGAACGGGUGAGUAACACGUGGGUGACCUGCCCUGCACUUCGGGAUAAGCCUGGGAAACUGGGUCUAAUACCGGAUAGGACCAUGGUGUGGAUACUGUGGUGGAAAGUUUUUUCGGUGUGGGAUGGGCCCGCGGCCUAUCAGCUUGUUGGUGGGGUAAUGGCCUACCAAGGCGGCGACGGGUAGCCGGCCUGAGAGGGUGGACGGCCACAUUGGGACUGAGACACGGCCCAGACUGCUACGGGAGGCAGCAGUGGGGAAUAUUGCACAAUGGGCGGAAGCCUGAUGCAGCGACGCCGCGUGGGGGAUGACGGCCUUCGGGUUGUAAACUCCUUUCACCAUCGACGAAGGGUUUCUGACGGUAGAUGGAGAAGAAGUACCGGCUAACUACGUG